rnacentral:rRNA from 1 species
UGGGGAAUAUUGCACAAUGGGCGCAAGCCUGAUGCAGCCAUGCCGCGUGUAUGAAGAAGGCCUUCGGGUUGUAAAGUACUUUCAGCGAGGAGGAAGGCGUUGUGGUUAAUAACCGCAACGAUUGACGUUACUCGCGAGAAGAAGC